rnacentral:ncRNA from 22 species
CCAGAGCAUUAGGAGUGGUCCGAUUGACGGGCCUGCCAACCGGGGAUGGAGAACCCAAGGUGGCUGAUGCCCCAGAAAGGGGCGUCGAUGCGCAAAGGCAAUGCCCUUUGAAUAGAAGUCUCCAGC